UACGUUGGGCGCAAGCGUUAUCCGGAAUUAUUGGGCGUAAAGAGCUCGUAGGCGGUUUGUCGCGUCUGCCGUGAAAGUCCGGGGCUCAACUCCGGAUCUGCGGUGGGUACGGGCAGACUAGAGUGAUGUAGGGGAGACUGGAAUUCCUGGUGUAGCGGUGAAAUGCGCAGAUAUCAGGAGGAACACCGAUGGCGAAGGCAGGUCUCUGGGCCAUAACUGACGCUGAGAAGCGAAAGCAUGGGGAGCGAACAGG
rnacentral:rRNA from 1 species